CGUAGGUGGCAAGCGUUGUCCGGAAUUAUUGGGCGUAAAGCGCGCGCAGGCGGUUCCUUAAGUCUGAUGUGAAAGCCCCCGGCUCAACCGGGGAAGGUCAUUGGAAACUGGGGAACUUGAGUGCAGAAGAGAAGAGCGGAAUUCCACGUGUAGCGGUGAAAUGCGUAGAGAUGUGGAGGAACACCAGUGGCGGAGGCGGCUCUUUGGUCUGUAACUGACGCUGAGGCGCGAAAGCGUGGGGGAGCAAACAGGAUUAGAUACCCUGGUAGUCCACGCCGUAAACGAUGAGUGCUAAGUGUUAGAGGGUUUCCGCCCUUUUAGUGCUGCAGCUAACGCAUUAAGCACUCCGCCUGGGGAGUACGGCCGCAAGGCUG
rnacentral:rRNA from 1 species